AGAUAACAUACGGUUCCUGUUGUCAGUCCAUACGUUGCCCAUGAGUGAAAACACUCUCUCCAUGAAAGCAUUGCUUACUGGGAUGGCAAACACUGCACUGACAACCUUCACCAGAAUUCUUGAUCUGACGCUCUUUAGCAACUUCACCCAUUUCUCAUCCAGAGGAAGAUAUUGGAUUUUGUUAGGCAGGAUCUGGCUGUAUUCCCGAAGAUUGGCUUGGAAUACUAGGCGGGGAGAACUGAACUGGUGCACUUUUUGUUGUUCUUGAAAGAACAACUUUAUUUAGUUAUUUUCAGUUUGCAAAAAUUGUGAAUUGAGCUGCGAGAAUCAAGGAGGAUGUCUCAGGACAAGGUAUCCAUCUCACUCUUCCCAGUCGAAUGUCUACAUCUAUUUUGGUAAAGGUCUGAUGUCCUAGUAGUAAGGGGAUUACGCUACAGUUUAAAACUAUAUUUAGAGGACGAUGGUCACUCUCCGGAUGAUCUUCCACCUUAAAGUUAUCCACUAAUUGAAACAGCUCCUGUGAUACAAAGGCUAGGUCGAUUUGAGAUGCUCCUCUUGAUGAGAGUUCAUGGAAGAAAUGAGUGUCUGAUCUCUACUGCCUAAAGGACCCAGCAAGAUCCAGCUUGAUAUAAUUUGAUUGCCAGCUUCAUUUGGCUUUCGAGGUUCCUGGGACCUGACAGUGAGGAAGUGAGAACUUCAGUGAACAUCUGCUCUCGUCACCAGUUUUGUUGGAGGCACUGGUUCACCAUCCAUCUCCCUCUUAGGAGAACCUUCUGAACUUGGGCUAUGAUCUCUCCGCUGCUGCCUGUUGGAGAUCUCCUUAUUGUCCUGACCUCUCCCUUCUGCGACAGAAGCAGCCACAGCAGCUCAACAUCUGGUGCGGAUUAAUGUUGAUACAUCCAGCUGGAAGUUCUUCUGGACUUUCGAUGUUGCUGACCGGAAACAAGACACAGGCCACGAGGGUCUGAGGGAAAGG